AUAAAUUUAAUCAAAUUAAUUAAUUAACUAAAAUAAUUAACGACAAGUAAAAAGAAAGGGGUACAAACAUAAAACAUGGGGUGCAAACAAAUUGAACCUUAACUUAGAUGUAAUCCCAAUACUAAUCUCUAAACAUUUGUAACCCUGCUAAAUUUAUAUAAAAAUAUAUAAAAUAAAAAAUUGAAAAAAGAAUAUAGUGCACAAAAAGGGGGGAGGCGCCCCAUUCAUUUAACCCAAAAAUCUUAUCCUAAAUUUUUUAAUUCAAUUAUAAUAAAUCUAAUGGAUUUUUCUUAUUUUCAAAAUUCAAACAAAACUAUAAUCAAUGCAAUCAGGACAUGUAACACUCUAUUUAUUAAAAAAAAACAAGUAACAAAAAGAGAGAAAGGGCAAAAAACGGAUAAUGCAUGAAAUUCUCUCCUCUCUCUCACAUUUUUUUCUCCAGUUUUCACAAAUUCAGAAACAUAAUAAUUCUUCUCUCUCUCUCUCUCUCUCUCUCUCUCUCUCUCUCUCAAAAACGUGUUUUAGAAGUGCCUUCUCUUUUAAGCCUUAGAUUCAUAUGUCCUCCUACCUUACCCUAUCUAUCUCACUACUUCUCUAAAAAAGCAAAAUCAAUGUAACCGACAAACAUUUUUUAGAUCCAGAAAAGAACAUAAGAAAGACGGAAUCCAUGGAAACCUACAAGCAAAUCAUGAAAAUGGGUGUGGGAAUACCAAGCGCGAACAAAAUCGGUGGCCGGAAAAUGCAGAGGAUUGUUGGAAAUGAGAACGGAAACACAAUUCCAGAUAAGAAAAUGUGGUCGUGUAGUUCAAUGAUUUUCGGCGGAAUCGUGGUGGUCCGACGGUUGUAGUGGCGACAUUGAUUUUUCGCCCGACGCGGUGGUGAAGACUCGAUUCUUGCUUCUUCAGAUUUUGUUGUGUUGUGAGUGAUUUUGGUUUGUAGGUGAUUUUAAAGGAUUUUGCGUGAGAAUGGUGGUUAGAAGGUGAAUUUUAUGGAGGUUAUAUGUUAUGGUUUUGAUGGAGGUUAGUGAAGAUAAGUUGAAGGUGUGAAGAUGAAUGAAGAGAGGUAUGAAAAUGGUGAUGGAGGAGAAGUUUUGAUGGAGAUCAAGAAAGGUUUAAGAUGGAAUAUGAGGUUUUAAUGUUAGAUUUUCGUGUGCUUUUUUAGAGCUUGGGGCUGAAUUUUUUUUGUUCUUCUUUUUUCCUCCUCAUCUCAAUUUAUAGGAUGGAUUCAAGUAUGUGAAAGUCUAAAGUGUGUGAGAAUUUAUCAUGAAAGGAGAGAAAAAAAGAGGUAAAAAUUGUUUGAUCAAAAGUGAGAUAAAAAGGAGGACAAAUUGUGUGACUCAUUUGCAGCAUGAAUGGAUGGUGAGAAUGAUGAUGGUAUAUGGAGAUGAUGACAUGGUGCAUGGAUGAUGGUGUACCAUUGUAUUUUGUCUUAUUCAAAUUAUGUUAGGCUUUUGUUUGAUUUGGUAAAAAAUGUAAUUAAACAUGGUUAAACAUGUGAAUGGUAUGUAAAUGAUGUAACAUUCUAUUUUGGAUUUUUUCCAUUUAUGAUGCAUGUAUGGUGUAUGACAUGUGAUCAAAUAAAAUGAGAUUUUAGAGAUAUUUGUUUAUUUUUGUCAUUUUUGUGAUAUUUGGGUAAGAAACAAAAAUUUAAGAAUAAUAAAAUAAUAAUACUAAUUAUAAUCGUAAUAAUACUAAACUUAUUAUUUUUUUGUUUUAAUUAUUUGGACUAAAAAACGAAUAAAAAGGAAACAAAAAUUGAAUAAAACGUGAAUGCUUGCAGACGCGAAAAAAUAAAAUGAGCACGCCGAGCCUAUCUACUUGUAAUAUCGUUCAGUAAAAUAGACAAUCACAUAUCAUUUAUUGCAGCUAAAAUACUUGAAUGAAAAGACUCAAAUUAAUUGAAAUUCGAUCGCGCGCGAAUGCGGAAAAAAGAACUAGUGUACUAGACUAAACUACGUGUAAUAUUGUUUAAUAAAACAAGCAGUCGUUGGCUCGAACUAAAAAAAAAUUGUCUGCUGAUUUUACUUGCCUUUGAAAACUGCUUCAACCGGUCUAUAUGCAAAACUGUACUGAUAUUUUAGAUCAAACAAAAUAAAGCUAGUUAACUGAAAAAUGAAAUGUUUGGACAAAAUUAAGGUACGACAACUGCCCCUAUUUAAUUACUUUUACCCAGAGAGUAUGAAUGAUGAUAAUCUUCAUAUAAUCAUGGUGAAAGAUAAUUAAAUACAAAUGACCCAAAUUUCGUCCUUCAAAUGUAAAAGCAAUGGAAUGAAAUGAAAUGAGACUUGGCGAAAUACCUUUAUCGGUGAAUGGAAAUGAAAGGUGGACUCACUAGGGAUUGAAUGAGGUAGGGUGAAAAGGGUCCAUUGGAAUAUAUCUGACAAAAUGACUAGGGAGAAUGUUCCUUAGGGAUGCUUCAAAAGAGACAGUGUGUUCUGGAUUUUCACAGACCAAACCAAAGGACAUUCAGAAAUAUCAGUAACAAAAUGGUAAAUUCUUGAUUCUCACAGGACGAACCAAUGACAUUCGACAAUCUUUGUAAUAAAAUGGCAAGUUCUGGAUUAUCACAUAAUGAACCAAAUGGUAUUCCACAAUCUUUGUAAUAAAAUGGUAAUUUCUAGAUUAUCACAUAACGAAAA
rnacentral:lncRNA from 1 species